rnacentral:rRNA from 1 species
GAGCGCCUCGCAAGAGGAGCGGCAGACGGGUGAGUAACGCGUGGGAAUCUACCCAUCUCUACGGAACAACUCCGGGAAACUGGAGCUAAUACCGUAUACGUCCUUCGGGAGAAAGAUUUAUCGGAGAUGGAUGAGCCCGCGUUGGAUUAGCUAGUUGGUGGGGUAAUGGCCUACCAAGGCGACGAUCCAUAGCUGGUCUGAGAGGAUGAUCAGCCACACUGGGACUGAGACACGGCCCAGACUCCUACGGGAGGCAGCAGUGGGGAAUAUUGGACAAUGGGCGAAAGCCUGAUCCAGCCAUGCCGCGUGAGUGAUGAAGGCCCUAGGGUUGUAAAGCUCUUUCAACGGUGAAGAUAAUGACGGUAACCGUAGAAGAAGCCCCGGCUAACUUCGUGCCAGCAGCCGCGGUAAUACGAAGGGGGCUAGCGUUGUUCGGAAUUACUGGGCGUAAAGCGCACGUAGGCGGAUUGUUAAGUUAGGGGUGAAAUCCCAGGGCUCAACCCUGGAACUGCCUUUAAUACUGGCAAUCUCGAGUCCGAGAGAGGUGAGUGGAAUUCCGAGUGUAGAGGUGAAAUUCGUAGAUAUUCGGAGGAACACCAGUGGCGAAGGCGGCUCACUGGCUCGGUACUGACGCUGAGGUGCGAAAGCGUG